rnacentral:sRNA from 1 species
UGAAAGACGCGCAUUUGUUAUCAUCAUCCCUGUUUUCAGAGAUGAAUAUUUUGGCCACAGCAAUGUGGCCUUUUUC